UUACUAAAACAAGUGACUUUCCAUAAACAUCAGCCUACUAUCUGAACGAAAGGGGAUAUUUUGAAGCGCCAAAAUUUGAGAAAGUAGGAUGAUAUAAUAUCUUUUCAAGAAAAUGAUGCGAGAACCCGCGGAAGAAGAAAUUCUCACAGGCCCUUAUUUCAAAGUUUCAGAUUCGAUUCCAAGGCAGCUUUUCUUUAGGAGGAAAGAGCGUAAACUCGACUCUAAAAGUUUCAGUUGCCUCCCUCUCUCCGCCCUAUAACUGAAAAAAAGGGGCACGGCGAAAGGACUUACGCUUUGCACCUGAAGGAGAUUCUCCAGUUGGGUACAGUGCAAAGCAAGAGGUGGAAAGUUUUGUUAGAAAUUCUGCCUUAUUCCAUGAGAUCUAGAAGCACUUCUGCAACUUUCUCUCUUCCCUAGCGCUCUUUUUUUUGACUUUUUCAAAGGGCAAUGAAGGCCUUCCUUAUAAGUUCUCGCUCGAUCGAAAGGAUAUAACACAUACGAAACCUUAGCUUCGCUGACUUUAUGAGGUCUAACCUUCGCCACGACAUUAGUGGCUUAGCUCUUCGCGCCUUUAGCGAAGUCCCUCCUUCCCAACCUCUCCUACAACAUCCAUUUCGUCAAAGAAGGACGGCAAAGAAGAAGGGCCCUGUUCCUAUGGGUUCACGUGCUAAGGCUCCACUAAAAAAUGCUCUUUUUCAAGAGAGAGGUUUAAGGCGCAUUAAUCACGGUCAUCCUCACCUUCCUCCGGCUUAUCACCGGCAGUCUGUUCAGGGUUCCAAACUCAACGAUGGCAACUAAACACGAGGGUUGCGCUCGUUGCUCCUUAGACGAAAGAGUGGUCUUUCAGGAUUGGUCGUUGGAUACUCUUAGGGAAGUAGGGAGUCUUACAAAAACAAGUGACUUCCCCAUGAACAGCAGCCUACUAUCUGUACGAAAGGGGAUAUUUUGAAGCGCCAAAAUUUGAGAAAGUAGGAUACUGUUAGGAUCUAUGAACUGGGGUCAUUUGUUCUUUCUAAAAAGGAAAAACUAUGUUGAAUAGCAAUCUUUAUUAAUGUUCUGGAG
rnacentral:lncRNA from 1 species